rnacentral:rRNA from 1 species
UACGUAGGGUGCGAGCGUUAAUCGGAAUUACUGGGCGUAAAGCGUGCGCAGGCGGCGCGUUAAGACAGGUGUGAAAGCCCCGAGCUUAACUUGGGAAUUGCGCUUGUGACUGGCGUGCUGGAGUGUGGCAGAGGGAGGUGAAUUCCACGUGUAGCAGUGAAAUGCGUAGAGAUGUGGAGGAACACCGAUGGCGAAGGCAGCCUCCUGGGCCAGCACUGACGCUCAUGCACGAAAGCGUGGGGAGCAAACAGG